AAGCUCUCAACUGCAUCAAAUUUUGAUGCAGCUUGGAUUGUGGGGGUUUGCAGGCCACAUCUUCAUGUGUGUGUGUGUCUGCUCCCCUGAAAUGCAUUAGUGGUAUCUGAUGGAGCACAGGUGUGAUAAUUAUCUACAUCUUGGUAUGCUGCAAAAACAGAUUGCACUGCUUCUAACGAGUGAAAGCCCCUUUGUAAAUGAGGGGCCACAUUUGAUGA
rnacentral:misc_RNA from 1 species